GGCUGCGCUGCCCGCGCAUAGAUACUAUGUGUACCGGCGCGCAGCAAGCGCGGUGUGCCGGGGGGAGGGAAACGGGGGGUUGUUUUGGGUUUUUUUUGUUUCGUUUGUUUGUUUUUUAUCAAUUCACGACCUAUACAAGAGGCCAGGCAGCUCUAGUAUUAAAAGGUUUGUGCCUUAGGGAUGACACAGAAGUAAGCUGAAAACAUGGUGAGUUUUCUAAGGAGAAAGGCAAGGGGAAGAAGUAAAAGACCACGUGUCUACACAGGGUAAAUAACAAUAAUAAUAAUAACAACAACAACAGUAAUAAAGCAUGCGUAGCAACUGAGAUGUGCCUUAAAAGCUGGCUGCAGGAGCUCUGGGGCUUGCUAUGCCCUCCAGCCUUGCAGAGUGCGAGGAGAAAGAAUGAGGGACGUGCAGACUUGAGGGUUGGGGUGUCCUGCCAGACCCCUUCCAGCUGGCCUGCAGUGCAGCAGACAGGAGCAGCUUUGGGGAAGUCAGCGAUGAGAAGAGGACUUGAGGCUGAGAGAUGUGCAGCACUGGCCGGCCAUUAGGAGCACUGAGGUGUGGGGCAGCCACCAGACUGCUGCCAGGACUGUCCCAGCCUGGCUGGGCUGCCUCUGCCGAGCCCUGUCCCCUGCCUUGGCUGGGAGGGGGUCAAGGGGCCAGAACCGCUGCAGGACCAAUGGACAGCCUGGGACUGAUGGAGCAGCAGCUUGCAAGAGUAUGUCUUUCUCCUGUAGCAGGAGUCCAAAAGCUCUUCCUCCAGACCAGCAUCCAGCUGUCCAUCGACUUCUGCAUCCCCUGCCAGGGCUGGUGACUGAAACGCAUUAAUGGAGUGCAACUCCCCGGUUUUCGCCCCAGAGAAAUAAAUACACUGGUAGUGUAAAGUGGUAAAGGUUGCCUUUAAGAGAGCGGCAAUUUCCUAAACGCUUGCGGUGUCAGAUGUGUGCCCGUGAGUCACGCCUCGCUUCACCCUUCACCCCGCCGCGGCCGGGCCGGGGGCCUACGGGCGGGCUGCGGGGACGGGCGGCCGGGAGGGCCGAGGGAGGCGCCG
rnacentral:lncRNA from 13 species